rnacentral:tRNA from 1 species
AAGGAUAUACCUCAGUGGUAGAGGGCUUGCCCAGCACACAGGAGGUCCUGGGUUCAAUCCCCUGUGCCCUGU